AUGAUUGAAGCUCCCAAAACACUCCGUUCCAUUCUUAUUCUUCAUCAAGCUCCCCUCGUUGAACUCCACUAUCAGGUUGACGAGGGGAGAUGAGUUUAAGUGCCGAGAUACACAAGGUGGUCGUGGUGGUGGCGGUGGUGGUGGUCAUAUUGGAUGUGGUGGAUGUGGAAAAGGAGAAGAGAGAAUGAUAGAAUAGAGAACUAAACAAAUAAAUGUGUAUAU
rnacentral:lncRNA from 1 species